UACGAAGGGGGCUAGCGUUGUUCGGAAUCACUGGGCGUAAAGCGCACGUAGGCGGAUCUUUAAGUCAGAGGUGAAAUCCCAAGGCUCAACCUUGGAACUGCCUUUGAUACUGGGGAUCUUGAGUCCGGGAGAGGUGAGUGGAACUGCGAGUGUAGAGGUGAAAUUCGUAGAUAUUCGCAAGAACACCAGUGGCGAAGGCGGCUCACUGGCCCGGUACUGGACG
rnacentral:rRNA from 1 species